UCGAAGGUGAUCUAAAGGUCACACUCCGC
rnacentral:sRNA from 1 species